CAAACAUAGACAUCAUGGUUACAAGUGCUUACAAGUUGUCCAAAUCACACAGAACCACGCGAUCUGUCAAAACGAGAUGUUGUUGGCAAGAUGGCGGCUUGUGUGGAGAGGCAACGGGACAGACGAGACACACGUGUGUUUAUCUGCUGCAGAGAGACUGAUCAAGGAAUGCUUCCAUCACAGUCUUUGUAUCUUUUGUGGGGGAGCAGGACAUGCAAGGAAAGGUGACAUUUGUGAAAAAAAGGGAAACCCUGAAACAAAAGGAUAAACACAGCAGCAUCCUGGAAAUGGUCCAGUGACACAGAUGAGACGCUCCGUCACUCCACCUCUUACUGCCUCAUCUGGACCGGAUGUUGCUGUGGUCUCUUCAUUCUCAGUGACCCCAGAGCCAGCGAGAGCAUCUAGAGAAAGAAAGACCUGAAGUUUGUUCUGCUGGUUUCUGUUUAUACAAUGAAGGCUGACUUUUAGAAGCUUCAAAAGCAUCAUCCCAAAAUGUCAUGAAGCUUUUAUCUGAAAUGAUUUACAGUGCUCUUAUUACAGGGGUCUACAAUCCCCCGAUCAACCUGGAGGAAAGAGCCUUGCUCAAGGGCAUACUGAUGGUUUAGAACCCGCGACCUUCUGCUCACCAGUUCAGUGGUUUAGCCCACAACAAAAGUAAUAAAGCUACAACAAAAAAAGCAUGUAAUUGUAAACAUGAAAUGAAAUUUGUUAAUAAAUGGAAAGCUGACAACAUGAAUUGCACUGAAUUGCUCAUGGAGAGCAGACACACGAAUGUUUGGAGCAGGCAGAUUGUCCCGCACAUCUUCCCCUGCUCUUGCUUCAAGGUUGUGUGCUUCAGAGAGCUGUGGUCAUGGUCUUCCUCAUCCUCUUGCUCAACGUUGUCCCCACUGAGAAAAGUGAGAUUGUGAAGCACAGCGCAGCAGCAGAACUGGCACAGCUGUGUUGAGAUGGCAGGAGGAUGUGGGUUCACCAUCUGUAAAUAUAUGAUUGAAUGAAGCUUUGUUUCAUCUGUUGUUGACUUGUAUAUGUAUGUAUUUAUUGUGAUGCUUUUAUUCAUUCCUUUACUUAUUUAUUCAUGUUUCUUAUUGUUGUCAGUAAACAAAAUAUAAAUAUUUUUUUUAUGUAUUAAUUGCUUGACUGAAAAUUCAUGUAUUCACAUCGACUGCAUUUGUUUAACUAUUGUAUAUUCAUGUAUAGCUAUGUCACGACAAAAAAAAUACAUUUAGCUUGUUUAACUAAAAUGUAAUUUUAAGAAAAAAAAAGUAAUAAUUAUUGGUUGGCAUUUAUCAUUAUUAUUGCAUGUAAGUGUUGGGGUGAGCAAACGAUGCAAUUCAUUCUGGGGUAAUCUUAAUUUUGAAGUAGUAAUAUUUACAUUUUUAGAGUAUAAAAUCAACAGUCUUCUCCAAAGUCAAGAUCUUCUAGCAGCUGAUCGACGUUUCCUUUGUGAUUUUACACAACCGUUCCAUAAAUAAGAAGUUAAUAUGAUGUUAUAUUUUAAAAUAUAACACAAUUCUAUGUAAGUUAUAUUACUGGGUUUUAUAUAUUAUAUACUAUAUCAUUGUGUAAUUAUAUUAUUGUGUUAUAUACAGUAUAACACAAUAUUGUCUGUUUUUGCUCUGUUUUGCCAAUAAAAAUAUUACCUAUACACUAAAGCCACAGCAGAAUUGUUGCGCAUCUCAUAGAGACACAGCUGUGUUUAGUUUUUGAAUGAAUCCGCGUUUUGAACGAAUCUGGUGAACCAAUGAUUCAAAAGCCCAUUCAUAAAGUGAGCCGUUUGAACUAAUCGAAUAAAUGAUUCAUAAGGACAUUUACCGCCACCUGCUGGCAGUUUUAGUGUCUUAUUUAGAGUAUUAUUUCACAAAAAUAAAAAAAGGGGGGGGGAUAAAAACACUUUAAAGGUAUUGUUCAUCCCAAAAAUAUUAAUUAUGUCAUCAUUUACUCAAACCUGAAUGACACUUUCUUUUGUGGAACAUAAAAAGGUAUUUUGAAGAUUUGGUUACCAACGACUUCCAUUGCAUGAAUGAAAAAACUGAGAUGUUUCUCAAAUUAUCUUCUUUUAUGUUGAAUAGUUUAUGUAAAGCCGUUGUAGCCUAAACGUGUAAUAAAAUUUAUGUUAAAUGAAAUAAUUUCUUUUUUGGGGGGUAUUUUCACAACCAAAUGUAGUUUGUGAUUAAUUAGAUCAAUUAAUCGACACAGUGUAAUUCAUAAGAUGAAAAAUAUGUAUCAACUGACA